UAAAGUAGCAAUACUUUGGUGGCGACCGGCGCACGGGUGAGUAACGCGUAUGCAACCUCUUUAUCAGAGGGGGAUAACCCGGCGAAAGUCGGACUAAUACCGCAUAAAACAGGGGCACCGCAUGGUGAUAUUUGUUAAAAAUUUAUUGCUGAUAGAUGGGCAUGCGUUCCAUUAGGUAGUUGGAGAGGUAACGGCUCACCAAGCCUACGAUGGAUAGGGGAACUGAGAGGUUGGUCCCCCACACUGGUACUGAGACACGGACCAGACUCCUACGGGAGGCAGCAGUGAGGAAUAUUGGUCAAUGGGCGAGAGCCUGAACCAGCCAAGUCGCGUGAAGGAAGAAGGAUCUAUGGUUCGUAAACUUCUUUUGCAGGGGAAUAAAGUGCAGGACGUGUCCUGUUUUGUAUGUACCCUGAGAAUAAGGAUCGGCUAACUCCGUGCCAGCAGCCGCGGUAAUACGGAGGAUCCGAGCGUUAUCCGGAUUUAUUGGGUUUAAAGGGUGCGUAGGUGGUUUAAUAAGUCAGCGGUGAAAGUUUGCAGCUUAACUGUAAAAAUGCCGUUGAAACUGUUAGACUUGAGUGUAAAUGAGGUAGGCGGAAUGCGUGGUGUAGCGGUGAAAUGCUUAGAUAUCACGAAGAACUCCGAUUG
rnacentral:rRNA from 1 species